rnacentral:rRNA from 1 species
AGCGAACGCUGGCGGCAGGCCUAAUGCAUGCAAGUCGAGCGCACCUUCGGGUGAGCGGCGGACGGGUGAGUAACGCGUGGGAACGUGCCCUUUGGUACGGGAUAACUGAGGGAAACUUCAGCUAAUACCGUAUGUGCCCUACGGGGGAAAGAUUUAUCGCCAUUGGAGCGGCCCGCGUUGGAUUAGGUAGUUGGUGAGGUAAAGGCUCACCAAGCCUACGAUCCAUAGCUGGUCUGAGAGGAUGAUCAGCCACACUGGGACUGAGACACGGCCCAGACUCCUACGGGAGGCAGCAGUAGGGAAUCUUGCGCAAUGGGCGAAAGCCUGACGCAGCCAUGCCGCGUGAAUGAUGAAGGUCUAGGAUUGUAAAAUUCUUUCACCGGGGAAGAUAAUGACGGUACCCGGAGAAGAAGCCCCGGCUAACUUCGUGCCAGCCGCCGCCGUAAGAC